rnacentral:rRNA from 1 species
UGGGGAAUAUUGCACAAUGGGCGCAAGCCUGAUGCAGCCAUGCCGCGUGUGUGAAGAAGGCCUUCGGGUUGUAAAGCACUUUCAGCGAGGAGGAAGGUGGUGGACUUAAUACGUUCAUCAAUUGACGUUACUCGCAGAAGAAGCACCGGCUAACUCCGUGCCAGCAGCCGCGGUAAUACGGAGGGUGCAAGCGUUAAUCGGAAUUACUGGGCGUAAAGCGACACGCAGGUCGAUUGUUAAGUCAGAAUGCUGGAAUCCCCGGCUCAACCUGGGAACUGCAUUUGAAAACUGGCAAGCUAGAGUCUCGUAGAGGGGGGUGAGAAUUCCAGGUGUAGCGGUGAAAUGCGUAGAGAUCUGGAGGAAUACCGGUGGCGAAGGCGGCCCCCUGGACGAAGACUGACGCUCAGGUGCGAAAGCGUGGGGCAGCAAACAGGAUUAGAUACCCUGGUAGUCCACGCUGUAAACGAUGUCGAUUUUGGAGGUUGUGCCCUUGAGGCGUGGCUUCCGGAGCUAACGCGUUAAAUCGACCGCCUGGGGAGUACGGCCGCAAGGUUAAAACUCAAAGGAAUUGACGGGGUC